AUGUGCAAUCCGGGUGUUCGUGAUUGGGAAAGAGGUGUGGAAAUCUGUAUUGCAACACCUGGGAGGCUGAUUGACUUUUUAAAGUGUGGGAAAACCAAUCUGAGAAAAACUACCUACCUUGUCCUUGACAAAGCAGAUAGAAUGCUGGAUAUGGGCUUUGAACCCCAAAUAAGGAAAAUUGUGGAUCAGAUAAGGCCUGAUAGGCAAACCCUAAUGUGGAGUGCGACUUGGCCCAAAGAAGUAAGACAGCUUGCUGAAGAUUUCCUGAAAGACUAUAUUCAUAUAAACAUUGGAGCACUAGAACUAAGUGCAAACCACAACAUUCUUCAGAUUGUGGAAGUAUGUCAUGAUAUAGAAAAAGAUGAAAAACUUAUUCAUCUAAUGGAAGAGAUCAUGAGUGAGAAGGAAAAUAAAACCAUUGUUUUCGUUGAAACCAAGAGAAGAUGUGAUGAGCUUACCAGAAAAAUGAGGAGAGAUGGGUGGCCUGCCAUGGGUAUCCAUGGUGACAGGAGUCAACAGGAACGUGAUUGGGUUCUAAAAAUGAAUUCAAACAUGGAAAAGCUCCUAUUCUGAUCGCUACAGAUGUGGCCUCCAGAGGGCUAGAUGUGGAAGAUGUGAAAUUUGUCAUCAGUUAUAACUACCCUAACUCCUCAGAGGAUUAUAUUCAUCGAUUGGAAGAACUGCCCGCAGUACCAAAACAGGCACAGCAUAUACUUUCUUUACACCUAAUAACAUAAAGCAAGUGAGCGACCUUAUCUCUGUGCUUCGUGAAGCUAAUCAAGCAAUUAACCCAAAGUUGCUUCAGUUAGUCGAAGACAGAGGUUCAGGUCGUUUGAGGGGUAGAGGAGGCAUAAAGAAUGACCAUCAGGACAGAUACUCUGUGGGCAAAAGGGGUGGAUUUAAUACCUUUAGAGACAGGGAGAAUUAUGAGAGAGGUUAUUCUAGCCUGCUUAAGAGAGAUUUGGGGGCAAAAACUCAGAAUGGUGUUCACAGUACUGCAAAUUACAGCAAUGGAGCUUUGGGAAUUUUGUGUCUGCUGGUAUACAGACCAGUUUUAGGACUGGUAAUCCAACGGGGACUUACCAGAAUGGUAUGAUAGCACUCAGCAGUAUGGAAGUAAUGUUCCCAAUAUGCACAAUGGUAUGAACCAACAGGCAUAUGCAUCCUGCUACUGCAGCUGCACCUAUGACUGGUUAUCCAAUGCCAACAGGAUAUUCUCAAUAAGACUUUAGAAGUAUAUGUAAAUGUCUGCUUUUCAUAAUUGCUCUUUAUAUUGUGUGUUACCAGACAAGAUAGUUAUUUAAGAAACAUGGAAAAUGCAGAAAUGACUGCAGUACAGCAGUAAUUAUGGUGCACUUUUUCACUAUUUAAGUUGGAUAUUUCUCUACAUUCCUGAAACAAUUUUUAGGGUUUUUUUGUACUAGAAAACGCAGGCAGUGUUUUCACAAAAGUAAAUGUACAGUGAUUUGAAAUACAAUAAAUGAAGGCAAUGCAUGGCCUUCCAAUAAAAAAUAUUUGAAGAGUGAAAAAAAAAA